UGCCUUUUAAAUGAAGGCCUGUAUGAAUGGCAUAACGAGGGCUUAACUGUCUCCUCUCCCUAGUCAAUGAAAUUGAUCUCUCCGUGCAGAAGCGGACAUAAAAACAUAAGACGAGAAGACCCUGUGGAGCUUUAGACCAAAAACAGACCAUGUCAAGGACAACAACAAAUUUCUCAAACAAAUUGGUUCCUGUUUUAUGUCUUUGGUUGGGGCGACCGCGGGGCAAUAAAAAACCCCCAUGAGGAUAAUGAAAACCCUAUUCUUACAACCAAGAAUUUCCCCUCUAAGUAACAGAACAUCUGACCUUAAUGAUCCGGCCUGGCCGAUCAACGAACCGAGUUACCCCAGGGAUAACAGCGCAAUCCUCUUUUAGAGUCCAUAUCGACAAGAGGGUUUACGACCUCGAUGUUGGAUCAGGACAUCCUAAUGGUGCAGCCGCUAUUAAGGGUUUGUUUGUUCAACAAUUAAAGU
rnacentral:rRNA from 1 species